rnacentral:rRNA from 1 species
CAGUCGAGCGAACAGAAAAGGAGCUUGCUCCUUUGACGUUAGCGGCGGACGGGUGAGUAACACGUGGGCAACCUACCCUAUAGUUUGGGAUAACUCCGGGAAACCGGGGCUAAUACCGAAUAAUCUCUUUUGCUUCAUGGUGAAAGACUGAAAGACGGUUUCGGCUGUCGCUAUAGGAUGGGCCCGCGGCGCAUUAGCUAGUUGGUGAGGUAACGGCUCACCAAGGCGACGAUGCGUAGCCGACCUGAGAGGGUGAUCGGCCACACUGGGACUGAGACACGGCCCAGACUCCUACGGGAGGCAGCAGUAGGGAAUCUUCCACAAUGGGCGAAAGCCUGAUGGAGCAACGCCGCGUGAGUGAAGAAGGUUUUCGGAUCGUAAAACUCUGUUGUAAGGGAAGAACAAGUACAGUAGUAACUGGCUGUACCUUGACGGUACCUUAUUAGAAAGCCACGGCUAACUACGUGCCAGCAGC